AUUGAACGCUGGCGGCAGGCCUAACACAUGCAAGUCGAGCGAGCGGCGGACGGGUGAGUAAUGUCUGGGAAACUGCCUGAUGGAGGGGGAUAACUACUGGAAACGGUAGCUAAUACCGCAUACCAUCAGAUGUGCCCAGAUGGGAUUAGCUAGUAGGUGGGGUAAUGGCUCACCUAGGCGACGAUCCCUAGCUGGUCUGAGAGGAUGACCAGCCACAAUGGAACUGAGACACGGGCCAGACGCCUACGGGUGGGAGCAGGGGGGAAUAUUGCACAAUGGGGGCAAGCCGGAUGGAGCCAAGCCGCGGGUGUGAAGAAGGGCUUCGGGUUGUAAAGCACUUUCAGCUGGGAGGCGUUACCCGGAGAAGAAGCACCGGCUAACCUGGGGCCAGCCGCCGCGGUAAUAC
rnacentral:rRNA from 1 species